UACGAAGGGUGCUAGCGUUGUUCGGAAUCACUGGGCGUAAAGCGCGCGUAGGCGGCUAUUCAAGUCAGGGGUGAAAUCCCGGGGCUCAACCCCGGAAUUGCCUUUGAAACUGUAUAGCUGGAGUGUCGGAGGGGAUAGCGGAAUUGCUAAUGUAGAGGUGAAAUUCGUAGAUAUUAGCAGGAACACCGGUGGCGAAGGCGGCUAUCUGGACGACAACUGACGCUGAGGCGCGAAAGCGUGGGGAUCAAACAGG
rnacentral:rRNA from 1 species